AUUGAACGCUGGCGGCAUGCCUUACACAUGCAAGUCGAACGGCAGCACGGGAGCAAUCCUGGUGGCGAGUGGCGAACGGGUGAGUAAUAUAUCGGAACGUGCCCAGUCGUGGGGGAUAACGUAGCGAAAGCUACGCUAAUACCGCAUACGAUCUACGGAUGAAAGCGGGGGAUCGCAAGACCUCGCGCGAUUGGAGCGGCCGAUAUCAGAUUAGGUAGUUGGUGAGGUAAAGGCUCACCAAGCCGACGAUCUGUAGCUGGUCUGAGAGGACGACCAGCCACACUGGGACUGAGACACGGCCCAGACUCCUACGGGAGGCAGCAGUGGGGAAUUUUGGACAAUGGGCGCAAGCCUGAUCCAGCAAUGCCGCGUGCAGGAUGAAGGCCUCGGUUGUAAC
rnacentral:rRNA from 1 species